AUGAAGGCGGGACUGAAUCUUCAAGAAAAAAAAAAUCACAAUGGGGUGGCAAAACCCUAAAUUCUUUCACCGGGGGCAAGCGAUGGUGGUGGUGUUGUCUUGAUGGGAUUUUUGUGGAUAUAAAUAUAUUUUUCUAUCACUCAUAAGAGAAACAAGCAUCAAUGGCACCUCCUGACGUGGCCAUGUGUGAUUGGGCCCCACUUAGGGUUUUCCCACUCAUUCCAAUGGGGUCCCUAUCCCUAGCUGGAAAGGUUGACUUGCAUCCACACGCAAAGCAAGUGGACGUUUGUUGGCCUGAGAGGGAAGUCACAAUCGUGGUCAUGCUUGCUAAACUUAUAGCUUCAUAAAUUGAUUCGGGGAAAUUGAGAUUUGAAAUUUGAUUGCAAUCGAAUUUGUAAUUAAAUUGGAUUAAAUAUUGAUCUGUAAAAUCCCAUCAACUCCAAAUAUUUUUUAAUAACCAGUUGAUUCGGCUAAAUUCAGCUAUAUAACUAGCUAGGUGAAGAACUUUAUAUGUCAAAAGAUGUCAUGAGCUCACAUUGAUGCAAGUUCUCCAUUGAAAUUCUUGCUGGCACAGUGAAUACUGGUUGAGGAGCCACAUGUUGCCGAAUCCUCCUACCUUUGUAAUUGAACUAGGGUUUUCUUUUUUAAAGAAGACUGGUUAAUUAUUAGUAUCAUGCAUCCCUUUGCCUUUCGUAAAUAUGUCUCCAUUUAUUAACCAGACCAGCAGGAUCCUACUAUUCAAGACUAACAUCAUAUGCUUAUGGCACUGUGGUUGCUGAGUUUCUCACUACACAUUACGAUGAGUUGCACCUGCUGCUUAUCAAUAGCCAAGUAGUCAGACAAACUACCAUAUCAGUAAAACUGGGGAAGAGUAGCAAAAGAGGAGGGAGUUUAGCUAGCUGGUCAGCUGCAUUGGAUACAUUGAGGACAGGCAUGGAACUGUUGUAAACACAUCACCAAACUUCCAUAGAUAUUCAGGGCAACGCAAAUACAAUGCCAUAGCUUUGCUAAUUGCCCGUGCAUUUUCAGACUAACUUAGAGAAGCAGAAACUUGUGUCAAAUUUAUGAGUUUAUGUUCAUUUGCUUUCCUUGCUUUGUUUU